AACCUACGGGAGGCAGCAGUGGGGAAUAUUGGGCAAUGGGCGCAAGCCUGACCCAGCAACGCCGCGUGACGGAAGAAGGCCCUCGGGUUGUAAACUUCUUUUAUUCGGGACGAAACAAAUGACGGUACCUGCAGAGGAAGCCACGGCUAACUACGUGCCAGAAGCCGCGGUAAUACGUAGGUGGCAAGCGUUGUUCGGAAUAACUGGGCGUAAAGGAUGCGUAGGCGGUUAAAUCAGUUAUAUGUUAA
rnacentral:rRNA from 1 species